AGCGAACGCUGGCGGCAGGCUUAACACAUGCAAGUCGAACGGACCCUUCGGGGUUAGUGGCGGACGGGUGAGUAACACGUGGGAACGUGCCUUUAGGUUCGGAACAACACAGGGAAACUUGUGCUAAUACCGGAUGUGCCCUUCGGGGGAAAGAUUUAUCGCCUUUAGAGCGGCCCGCGUCUGAUUAGCUAGUUGGUGGGGUAGAGGCCUACCAAGGCGACGAUCAGUAGCUGGUCUGAGAGGAUGGCCAGCCACAUUGGGACUGAGACACGGCCCAAACUCCUACGGGAGGCAGCAGUGGGGAAUCUUGCGCAAUGGGCGAAAGCCUGACGCAGCCAUGCCGCGUGGAUGAUGAAGGUCUUAGGAUUGUAAAAUCCUUUCACCGGGGACGAUAAUGACGGUACCCGGAGAAGAAGCCCCGGCUAACUUCGUGCCAGCAGCCGCAGUAA
rnacentral:rRNA from 1 species